CAAAAAACAAAAAAAACACCGUAACGGUGGCCGUCAGUUUGGUGCUUUCUGUUUUUAAGGGUCAAAAGGGAUCAGGAGGAGUGGAACAGGUGCAGAGAAGCUGAAGGCUGAACAAGGGGCAGUUUGGGGAAAGCAGAGGGGACGGGGAAGAGAAUCUGGGGAAGGAAGCCCAGGGCAACGAAGGGAGAGGGCGAGGCUACAAUAUAAGCGAGAGGUUCAGGAAACAAACUAAAAAUGUGGGGAUGGAAUUAAUUAAGAGUUCAUGGAGGAAGUCAAAAGCUGAGAUGCAGCAAGACGCAUAAUUGCCCUUGCCUUUUGCUGCGCUUCCUCACGGGGCUGUUUCUGUCAGAAUCCCUGGCAGACAAAGGAAGCGGGGCCAGGAAAAUUCUCAUGAAUAAUUGUAAUUGGGUAGGAACGUUUUCUUCCCGUCGCUUGCCCAAGUCUAGAGUUUAAGAAAUUAACUGAUCAUCAACAGCGUUUCAUUGUCACACACCCACUGAGCGGUUCCCCCGUACUCUUUCCGACCUGUUUCAUCUAUGUGUGUUUCCCACCUAUAUUUGUAGGGCUCCCCCCAGGCGUUAAUUCAGUGGCGGUGGCAGUGAUGAACUAGCCACGAGGAGCUCGUGGCUGCUAUAUGGCAAACACAGGUCUGGAGUUCACGGGCGAUGUGUCCAGGCUGGAGAGAUGAAUUUGGGAGUUAGACAUGUCUGGAGGGAGCUUACAAGACCAGACGAGGGAGGCCGUGUAGAUUGAGGGGAGAAGCAGUUGGGCAACCGAGCACUGAGGCGGUGCCGUGUCGAAGGGCCAAGGAGGCAAAGAGGAAACAAAAAUGGGGAGGGAACAGCCAGAAAGGGAAGAGGAAAGACCGAAGAAGGUGGUCUCCUGGAUGCCAAGGGAAGAAAGAGGGGAGCAGUCCCCGGUGCCAGAUGGUGCAGAGGGGUUGGGCAAGGGAAGUGCGCUGACCCACUAGACUCAGCAGGUGAUGACCGGUGACCAUGACAAGGGCAGUGUGGCAAGCGAUAAAGCUGCAGGAGAAAAUGAUGAGGGAGCAGAGCAGAGACCAGUCUCCAGAGGAGCUUUGCCGAGGAAAACGGCAGAAAAAGGGAGCAGACGCUAGAGGAGAAAGUAAAGUCCAGAGAAUUUGGUUGUUUUUGAGGCGCGUGAAAUAACCCUGCGCUAUGGGGCUGUUGGGGAAGUUUUAGUAAAACAAUAAGAGAGAGAGAGAGAAAGAAGAGGGGUUUGCACUGUGUUGUCUCUCAGCAGAUGAGAGAAAAUAAGAUGUAGCACACUGAUGGGGAGGCAAGUUCAGACGGGAGGUGGACAGUUGGUCUCGGGAUGGAAGAGCAGGUGAAGAACAUUGGGCCCAGGAGCAGGUGGGUGGUGCAAGCGUGUGCAGCGUCAGUUUGUAUCGCUGACGUCAUUUUCGGGGGCUUCAGCCCUGUGAGAGCGAGGCGGGGGAGGAAGCGCUGGAGGUUUGGAAGGCGGAGAGAGAGAAGGUAGAAGAUCGAGAACGGAGAUGGGAACUUAGAAUGAUCGCUGGGCAGCAGGAGGGCCCAGCUGAAGCCCGUGGUCUUGCUUUUGAAGCGAGAGCAGUCAGCAGGGUUUUGCUUCCCAAGGCCGUGUUCAGCCCUGCUGGUGUGGUCGCAGAGUCGGGGAGGGCUAGAUUUAGCAAGGUAGGGCUUUGCAGGAAAUACAUCAAGAGGGGAGGGCGGGGCCUGGGAACCAAGGGGGUAUCCGAGCGCUGGAUGAUGGUCUUGACAUGGAUGUUGGUACUUAACAUAGGGGGCCCUGGGCUGUCAGCUGGAAGUACACCCCGAGGCGGGGAGUGAGGGAUGGGAAUAGGCGGCAGGAUCUGUGCAUGGGAGGUUGUGAUUGGAUUUAAGACUCACUGGGGCUGGGAAAUGGUAGUUGGACUGUGGGAGAGUCAUGGAGGGUGGUGGCACUAUUGAUAAUGACAGUGUACCUGAAGUAGGAUGGGAAAAAGACUGCGGGCAGAGAGGGGUCAAGGAACGGAGGUAGUGUUAGGAACGGGAGUGUUGACGUCAGUCAUCUGUGUGGAUAUUGCAGUCGGACCGUGGGAACAGUGUUGGAGACGGUGAGAAGCAAGAUAGUCCAGAAGAGGAAAGAAUUGGCAGGGGUGGCGGUGGUCUAUAGAUGGUUGCAACAAGGAGGGCUUUGUGGUGGUGGGGCGCACUGGGCGGGGGGCACGCUUGGAAAGGAGGAGGAAAGAAGAGGCAUCCAGAAAAGGCAGUGAGACACAAGCAGGACGCUUAGGAUGAGUAAGAGGAAGCAGCCAGCCCCUGAGCUGGCUUCGAGGAAGCUGUGUCCCCAGGAGAGAGGCUGGUUUCAGUGAGCACAAGAAGGUAAGAGGGAUGAUCAGAGAAGAGGUUGAAGACACCGGGGCAUGUAUUGAUGACGGGCAAAGAGUGCUUGUCUUCUGUAAAGCUUCCUGGUUCUCCUCUUACUCCCUCACCCCUGUCGUAAUACCCUCCUAGAGGAAUGAUGCUUUUAUAGUCUAAACCAGAUCAUGUCAUUCCCCAGGUUAAAACCUGCACAGUCUUUCUCUCUUAGAAGCCAGUCUGACUGUCUUACUGCCAGGACCUGCAUACAUCAUCUGACCCUUCCAUGGUUCUCAUGCCUCUCUCUCCUCGGUUCACUCUACCCCACUGCGCUUUCUUUCUGACUUAGGAAUAUGUCGGCACGUUCCCACCUCUGGUACUUUUGCCCUUGUUGUUUCCUCAGUCUAGAAUAUUUUUCCCCAGAUCUUUCCAUGGCUGGCUCCUUCCUGAUCAUCCAGUUGGAAGUGGCCUCACCUCACUCAUAAUCACCUGUUUUAUUUUCAUCAUGGUCCCAUCAGUGUCUGAAAUGAUCUUAUGUCUCUGCUUUUCUUUUUAAAAUGUGGGUUCCAUGAACAUAGGUACCUUGUCUGUCUUGUUCACUACUAUAUCCCCAGAGUCUAGAACAGUGCCCGACACAUCGUAGGUGCUCAAAAAAUAUAUGUUAAGUGAAUGAAGUAGAUUUUUAAAAGUUUUUUACUGUUUGCUUAUUUUUGAAAGAGAGACAGAGCAUGAAUAGGGGAGGGGCAGAAGGAGGGUGACACAGAAUCCAAAGCAGGCUCCAUCCAGGCUCUGAGUUGUCAGCACAGAGCCUGAUGCAGGGCUUGAACUCACAAACCAUGAGAUCAUGACCUGAGCUAAAGUCGGAUGCUUAACCAACUGAGCCACCCAUGCACCCUGUGAAUGAAGUAGAUUGCGUGAUUGAGGAGCUCUGUCAGUGGCAGGUUGAGACUUACGCAUGAAGUAAUAUAGAACAUUCUAGACUGAUGGUCCUUCCCAGCCACAUCAGAUCACUCAGUUUCAGACUGGCUUCAUUCUGGCCUAAGACGAAAUAAAACUAAGCCUCAGAUCUGUGACUCAUAUUGAGUUCCCAGUACCAUUCAAAAUUAGGAAUUCUAAAGGGGGAUGUUUUCUUAUAACUGUAGAGCAUCCCACUGUGUUUAUUUUAAAUGUCACAGAUUUAUUUAGAAAAAUAAUUUAUUUUCUCUUUUGAGAAGGUUGAGCUUUCUUGCAUAUGUGUCUAGAAAAUGGAUUUGUUGAGAGCGGGGGGUGGGCAAGGAAACUAUCUUAACUUCCUUUUGAUCGGGUGUUAAGAAUAGGCAUCCAGUGGAAGCAGAUAAAAAGCAAUUAGAUAAACAAUGAGCUCUAAAAAGUCUAGUAUUUUAUUGUUGGAACCUCAAAUCCAACCUGCGCUGAAUUUGUGUGUGUGGGCGGAAAGUGAAUUUUUGCAGGCUGAGUAUCUGGGGUUUGGAAGCAGUUUCUCAGUUUCUCCCAUAUUGCAAAGCAUAGCACAUGUGUUCAGUUACGGGUUUCCACAAAACUGGCAAUCCUGAACCAAUGAACGAGUGAGGUUCCAAAAGUUCAUUUGCAAGUUUGUUUGGCACUCAGAAUGCAUUUUCCCAUAGAAACAAUGCCAUAAAUUAAGGACUCAGUCCCAAGGCAGCCCACAAAAUUCAAUUUAUUUAAUUUCAACAAAUAUUUAUCGAAUAUCCACCAAGAGCCCCAUGUGGCAAGUGAGCUAGCUAGAGGCUAUGGAGGGAAAUCGGAUGCCAUUCUUGGCCUUCAGGAACUCACAUGCAAGCUAGGGAGACAGCCGUGUCAACAGCCAACACUGAUUCAGUCAUAUGUCCAGUUGACGAGUAUUUAUUGAGCACCUAUGACGUGAUAAGGCCUGUGCUAGGUACUCGGGUUAUAGUUCUUUCUUGCCUACACAGAGCCUGCAGUCUAGUGAGGGAUGUAGACAAUACUCCGGUGAUGCUGCAUUGACCAAUUCUUCCUAAAAGAAAGAAUUGGAAGAAAAAAGCAUUUGUUUUUCUUGCUCAUGGGUCAGCUCCAGUGGGGUGGGGUCGGGAUGCCCUCUGCCUCAAGCUGCAGGUUGAGAGGAUUGAUUCAGGUCUUCUUCACACAUCUCUCAUCCAAUGCACACUGUUCUCAAGGUAGACCGCAGAAGUACAAGAGCCAUGCUAAACUAUGCAUCACAUUUGUCACCUUGGCUCAUGUCAUGUUUGCUGAUACUCCACUGGCGAGCACACCACAUAGCCAAGCCCAAUGUCACUGGGGUAAGGAAAUCUACCCCACCUACUGUCGUGCAAGGGAGCCAAAGGUUAUGGAUGCGUCAUUCCAGUGCAGCAGAUAACUGAGGCGUUGAGCGCAAUAAUCUGGUCAGUCUUGACAAGUAAAAGAGUUACCAUUUUACCAAUAGGUAGAUAGAGUAUCAUGAAGGUUAGCCCAGAGGCAGUGGAGGAUUCCAUGGGGGCACAUGAACAUCUAACCCAAACUAAGGGAAGGUUGGGGUGCCUGGGUGGCUCAGUUGGUUGAGCGUCCGACUCUUGAUUUUGGCUCAGCUCGUGAUCCCAGGGUCAUGGAAUCAAGCCCUGAGUUGGGCUCCGUGCUGAGUGUGGAGCCUGCUUAAGAUUCCCUCCCCCUGCCCCUCUCUCCUGCUCAUGCUCUCUCUUGCUCUCUCUCUCUCUAAAAAAAAAAUUAAAUAAAUAAUACUAAUAAGUAAGGGAAGGUUUGCUGGAGGAGGGAAUAUCUAAGCUGAAGUUGAGCUGUGAGCAGAUAUCAGCCAGGUAGAGCAGAGGCAGGUGACUGGCCGAGGGAACAGGUGUAUCGAGGCCAGUUGCUGUAAGAGCACCGGUUGUGCUCAAUACAGUUGGAGCACACAGUCUGGCGGGGGUUGUUGAGAUACUUGGUGGCUUGGUAGGCAGGAGUGGCCGAGCACUGGCCUUACAAGCCAUGUUGAAAAAUGUGCAUUUUCUCGUAAGGACUUUUGGGAACUAUUGCAGAGCUUCAAUUAGAAGAGUGACCAGAUCAGCUGUGGGUUUUAGAAUAAGCGUCCUAGCGCAGGAUAGCCUGGAAACGAUCUGCUGGACACUGGCAGAUCACUUAGAAGGUGGUUGUAAACCGGCAAGAGACUGGGGUCCGAUGGCAGAGCUAAGUCUCGGAAGGUGCAGUGAGGCAAGCUACUGCUCUUUUCCCAGCAACACCAUAACCUCGGUGUUGAGAUGACAAGGGAAGGGGUAUGGGCAUCUGGCUUGGGUGACCAGAUGGACAGGGGUGUCACUGCCGAACAGGAAUGUAGGAGGGGUAGCCUGUUCGGGAUGCCCAGCAAUGCAGGGGGUGGCUUCCACUCUGGCAGCAGAGGAGGAAGAGUGCAGGUCCUGGAGGCAGCCUGCUUGGGAUUGAAUCUAGGCUUCUUUGUGACCUGCAGGUUCCUUGUCUUCUCUGGGUCAAAUCUCUUCCACAAAGUAGGGCUAGUAGUACCUCACAGGGUGGCUGAGAAGAUCCAAUCAGAUAAUGUUCAUAAAGCCCCAGGCACAGCGCCUGGCUCUUAGUAAGCACUCAAGUAACAUUAGCCAUUGCGAUGGUGGAAGCCCAGAGGAGGGAGCCAUUCGUUGUAACCAAGGUUGGUGAAGGCUUCAGACAGGAAGUGGCAUUAAAAUUAGGCCUGGAAGCCUGAAUGAACUUUCACCAAGGGAAGAGAGAGUGGAAGGCAUUUCAGGUAGAGGAUCCAGCAUAGGGAGAGGUCUUUUGAGGGAGCGGCAGAUUGGAUAUUACCCCCAGAGCACUGGUUCUGGAAGGCAAGAAGGGGAUGGGGCAUUGGGUGGGACCAGGAUGUGAAGGACUCUGAGUUUGGACUUGAUUCGGGGUGCUGGGAACCUGGUAAAGGAUUUUCAGCAGAGGAUUGACAUGAUCAUAUUUGUGUUUUAAAAAGAUUAUCCUGGGGCGCCUGGGUGGCUUGGUCGGUUAAGCGUCCAACUUCGGCUCAGGUCAUGAUCUCACGGUCUGUGAGUUCGAGCCCUGCGUCGGGCUCUGUGCUGACAGCUCAGAGCCUGGAGCCUGUUUCAGAUUCUGUGUCUCCCUCUCUCUCUGCCCCACCCCUGUUCAUGCUCU